rnacentral:rRNA from 1 species
GAUGAACGCUGACAGAAUGCUUAACACGUGCAAGUCCUUGGCGAAGCUGCGCUUGCGCAGUCUAGCCAAGGCGGACGGGUGAGUAACGCGUAAGGAACUUGCCCUGCAGACAGGGAUAACAGACGGAAACGACUGAUAACACCUGGUAUUGUCAGGCUGGCGCAUGCCGGCCUGAUGAAAGGAGACGCUGCAGGAGAGCCUUGCGUCCUAUUAGCUAGUUGGUGGGGUAACGGCCCACCAAGGCGAUGAUAGGUAGCCGGCCUGAGAGGGUGAACGGCCACAAGGGGACUGAGAUACGGCCCUUACUCCUACGGGAGGCAGCAGUGGGGAAUAUUGGACAAUGGGGGCAACCCUGAUCCAGCAAUUCUGUGUGCACGAAGAAGGUUUUCGGAUUGUAAAGUGCUUUCAGCAGGGAAGAAGAAAGUGACGGUACCUGCAGAAGAAGCGACGGCUAAAUACGUG